rnacentral:tRNA from 1 species
UUAAAGCAUUUCGCUUACACCGAAAAAAUAUUCGUGAAAACCAGAUCGUUUCG